rnacentral:rRNA from 1 species
CAGUCGCCGCGGUAAUACGAAGGGUGCAAGCGUUACUCGGAAUUACUGGGCGUAAAGCGUGCGUAGGUGGUGGUUUAAGUCCGUUGUGAAAGCCCUGGGCUCAACCUGGGAAUUGCAGUGGAUACUGGGUCACUAGAGUGUGGUAGAGGAUAGUGGAAUUUCCGGUGUAGCAGUGAAAUGCGUAGAGAUCGGAAGGAACAUCUGUGGCGAAGGCGACUAUCUGGGCCAACACUGACACUGAGGUACGAAAGCAUGGGGAGCAAACAGGAUUAGAUACCCCCGUAGUCCCUGUCUCUUAUAA